rnacentral:rRNA from 1 species
AGAUUGAACGCUGGCGGCAUGCUUUACACAUGCAAGUCGAACGGCAGCACGGGGGCAACCCUGGUGGCGAGUGGCGAACGGGUGAGUAAUAUAUCGGAACGUACCCGGAAAUGGGGGAUAACGUAGCGAAAGUUACGCUAAUACCGCAUAUGCUCUACGGAGGAAAGCGGGGGACCUGAAAGGGCCUCGCGCUAUGGGAGCGGCCGAUGUCCGAUUAGCUUGUUGGUGGGGUAAUGGCCUACCAAGGCGACGAUCGGUAGCUGGUCUGAGAGGAUGAUCAGCCACACUGGGACUGAGACACGGCCCAGACUCCUACGGGAGGCAGCAGUGGGGAAUUUGGACAAUGGGGGCAACCCUGAUCCAGCCAUGCCGCGUGCGGGAAGAAGGCCUUACGGGUGUAAACCGCUUUAGUCGGAAGAAAGGACACGGCGAAGUACCCGUGUUCUUGACGGUACCGGCGGAAUAAGACACCGGCUAACUACGUGCCAGCAGCCGC